GCGGACGUGGUGCAUGGUGCGCCGCUGCAUUCAAUAUUUGAGUGUCCCCGGUUCUUUGAUGCAGUUGCUGGGGUUCGACUCCCCGCGUCCGCA